CUGAGCUGAAAAUCCAGAGUUGGAUGCUUAACCGACUGAGCCACCCAAGUGCCCCAAGGAGGUCGUCUUUUGCCUGCAAAAGACCCCAUUGCUUUUAGAUGCUCUCCUAGGACCGAGACCAGCUUGGGAGCUGUGCCCGCAUCUUUGCUCUACCCUCAAGAUUGGAAGUGCUGCAUUUUCCCCUCCCCAGAUGCAGCAACCUAACCAGAAAAGCACCACCUGCCAGAGAGAGCCGGCUCCUGUCCCACAUGGUCCAGCCUCAGGGAGGGGCACUGAGCACCAGCACCCCCACCAGCAGCUGCGCUCACCGCCCCCCCCAGGUCAAGAGUCACUGCCUCCCUGAAGACGAGCUGUUCUCAGGGCUCUUCUCCUGACUGGCGGAUGACCCCGGAAACUUGCAGAUCUUUCCUGUGCCUGUCUCCACCUAACUGGAAGGCUAUGGUGGAGACUGCAUGAGAUGAACAGGUGUGUAAAGAAUCUGGGGUUGGCGAGGGAUGCUAAUGUCCUGGGAGCAAUGGAGCUGCCUGGCGAGAGUGUUGACAUCCACCCCUCCGAUCCUGUGACACAAAUGGAGGAUUCCUGUUUAUUAUGUGAGUCACUCGAGGCUUAGGGAAGUGAAACAAUGUGCAAGAUCUCACGUUAACUGGAGCCCAGGGACCUUGCAGUACCCUCUUACCAGGAGGUGGGGCAGAAGGAAAGAGGGGACAGCUGCCCACCCCAGGCUGGCCCUGACAGAGCAUGGAAUGACAAAGCGACUGGGAACCAGGGAGGCCAGCCAGCAGGAUCUACGUCCGUGGUGCCCUGGAAUUUCGGUCAACCCCUACAAUUGUGGAUAAAAUGUUGUACAUGUGGUCCAUAGCAUUUAUGAGAUUUUCAAAGGGGUCAAUGCAAGCUAAGUACCGGGACGCUGGCUACCCCUCCGCUUUGCUGAUGUGAGUGGCAACUCCUGUUGGUGCUUAUCUGCAUAGCCAAGAGAGGGAACCCCUGAGUCUCACCUGCCACCUCCCUCUCUCUUCUCCCACGGCCCAGCGAGCAGCUGCUCACCUUGUUUUCUGAACUUGGGGCAUCUCAUGCUCAGCAAGGCAGCCCGUAGGGCCCCCAUGCACGGGCCCGCCAGGCCAUGACCUCCUGGCCCUCCUGGGGGAAAGAGCCCUGCCCCCCCAUUCCCAGGCCCCAGCACAUAUAGGAAGGGAGAAUGGGCCCUGUAAGACAGCUCCUGGGGCGCCUG